rnacentral:rRNA from 1 species
CUCCCGGAUGUUAGCGGCGGACGGGUGAGUAACACGUGGGUAACCUGCCUGUAAGACUGGGAUAACUCCGGGAAACCGGAGCUAAUACCGGAUAGUUCCUUGAACCGCAUGGUUCAAGGAUGAAAGACGGUUUCGGCUGUCACUUACAGAUGGACCCGCGGCGCAUUAGCUAGUUGGUGAGGUAACGGCUCACCAAGGCGACGAUGCGUAGCCGACCUGAGAGGGUGAUCGGCCACACUGGGACUGAGACACGGCCCAGACUCCUACGGGAGGCAGCAGUAGGGAAUCUUCCGCAAUGGACGAAAGUCUGACGGAGCAACGCCGCGUGAGUGAUGAAGGUUUUCGGAUCGUAAAGCUCUGUUGUUAGGGAAGAACAAGUGCAAGAGUAACUGCUUGCACCUUGACGGUACCUAACCAGAAAGCCACGGCUAACUACGUGCCAGCAGCCGCGGUAAUACGUAGGUGGCAAGCGUUGUCCGGAAAUUAUUGGGCGUAAAGGGCUCGCAGGCGGUUUCUUAAGUCUGAUGUGAAAGCCCCCGGCUCAACCGGGGAGGGUCAUUGGAAACUGGGAAACUUGAGUGCAGAAGAGGAGAGUGGAAUUCCACGUGUAGCGGUGAAAUGCGUAGAGAUGUGGAGGAACACCAGUGGCGAAGGCGACUCUCUGGUCUGUAACUGACGCUGAGGAGCGAAAGCGUGGGGAGCGAACAGGAUUAGAUACCCUGGUAGUCCACGCCGUAAACGAUGAGUGCUAAGUGUUAGGGGGGUUUCCGCCCCUUAGUGCUGCAGCUAACGCAUUAAGCACUCCGCCUGGGGAGUACGGUCGCAAGACUGAAACUCAAAGGAAUUGACGGGGGCCCGCACAAGCGGUGGAGCAUGUGGUUUAAUUCGAAGCAACGCGAAGAACCUUACCAGGUCUUGACAUCCUCUGACAACCCUAGAGAUAGGGCUUUCCCUUCGGGGACAGAGUGACAGGUGGUGCAUGGUUGUCGUCAGCUCGUGUCGUGAGAUGUUGGGUUAAGUCCCGCAACGAGCGCAACCCUUGAUCUUAGUUGCCAGCAUUCAGUUGGGCACUCUAAGGUGACUGCCGGUGACAAACCGGAGGAAGGUGGGGAUGACGUCAAAUCAUCAUGCCCCUUAUGACCUGGGCUACACACGUGCUACAAUGGACAGAACAAAGGGCUGCGAGACCGCAAGGUUUAGCCAAUCCCACAAAUCUGUUCUCAGUUCGGAUCGCAGUCUGCAACUCGAC